CUCUCUAAAAAAUAAGAACGAUGUAGGUGAUGAUUUCACAAAGCAUUGUUAAAAGAUAAUCUCUUGCAUAUCUCCUUUGAAGAAAUAAAUUGUCAGAAGAUUCUAUAAAAUGACCCCUGAGAUCUUACAUGCAGAUAAGAUUUUCAAACAAUGGUAAAUAUCUCUCAUUCUCUCACCCACCCAUGGUGUGCUGUCCAGGGUGAGAAAGGGGCAAUAAGAAUAUGAUUCCACAUUCUAACCUUUAUUGUAGCAAAAUAACACUCAAAUCCUUAACAUGCAAUAAUGUUUUAAUAAUGGAUGGCUAUUGUUGUGUGAUUGGGUCAACUAUAAACUACAUGAAGAACUCUAAUAACGGUAUCGAUGUGUACGCUGUUACUCCCCACCUGUGUGGUUAGACACCUGCAUUGCUGCUCAACAUAUCUCCAAACGGUGGCCUUGUUUUCUCAACCACAAAAAUUAUUUUCAUGUUAAUUAAUCGACAUGUAUCCUCUGAAUGUAUAAACCCUUGGGCAACUUCGUCAUAUGUUACCUUGGGUGGUAUCAUAUUGCAUGGCAAAUGACAACCGGUGAAUGCUGGUUUCAGCUAAGGAACUCUGCACCGAGCCCGACAGCAGAAAACCCAAAGCCAAACCCUUCAAGAAUUUUGGACGAGCGGUUGAGGACGCUUGAACAUACGGCAUCUCUUAUGGCAAGAGAUGUUGUUACCAAGGGAAAUCUGACGUCUGUGAAUAGACAACCUGACUAUGAGUUCUUCCUCUCUAGGCGAUGCUAGUAGCUACUCCAAAAUUGCUUUUAGGUGUGACUCACCGAGUAGUCAGCUUAUAUUUGCCAAAGUAGUUCUGUAUAAAUUCUAAAUCUAACCCUCAGAUAGGAGGAAUCAAAAGCACCACAUCUCAUCGCUCUGCUUCUAUCCUCUCUCUCUCUCUCUCUGUCUCCUUUUUCUUUUUUCCUUGUGGUGGAACUUGUUCCAUCUGUGUAGGGGAUUUGCAAAUAACUACCUUUUUUUUUUUUCCUUGUUGUGAUGAAACUUGCAUGGAAUUGGUGUUUUCAAAUUGGAACCAAGUCCAAGCGACCAAACAUAGCACAAAUAAGCAAAAUUGCAGCA